UCUUCUGCAGGUCUUGGGUCUUUUCACAGAUAUUUUUCUCUUUUGCCCCAUCAGCAUUUCAAACGUGGUCUAGGCCGAGGCCUGAACAACUUGGAGUCAGAGGGAAAUAUUUCAUCUCACCAGCUUUCUUGAAGUUUAUGAUUACUGAAGUCCUUCCUAAUUUUUCAGCAAGUUGAUGCAAUUUGGUCAUUGGGCCCCAGUCCCAGUGCACCACCACUAGUUUGGCCUCUAGGAAGUUCUCAGCUAUGCCAACUGCCUCCCUGACUCUUCAGACCUAGUGCUUGCAAGCUCAUUCCCUGGUAAUAUCUUCCAGAACAGCUCCAAGUGGUUGAUGGUUUGCUCAGCUAUGAACAACAUGCAUCUGAAGUCAUGGUCCCUCUCCAAGAAGCUUGCAGUCUGAAAGGGGCAGCUUUGAACGUACAAUAAACCUGCUUUUCUGAAACAACAGCUGUGCUAAACGAAGUGGCAGGACAUCCGUGUGCCCCAGUUGGAUCUGCAAUCCCUGAACAGACUGCAUCACCCACCUUGGGGAAGCAUGGGAAGAUGAGACUUCUCUUCCCCAGACCCUCAUUUCCCACUUGACCAUUGAAGCUUCCCAGCUUCCAACAUACAAGAAUCAGGACUGACCUAAAAAGAUCUCUCGGCCAUCAUCCCCUCGGAGAGAAACUCCAGACAACCUCAGAACGCUGAAAAGCUGCACAUUUCCUGUGCCUUUGACUAUAAUCACAUACACACUGAGCACAAAUCUUUCAUUCUUACGCUGGCGAGAAUACAGAAUAACUCCAUUAUAAAUAAAAAGAAUUAAAAUAAUACACAGAUUUGGAAGGCAUAGAAGAUUGUAACCCAUAGACUCUGAUAUGCUUAUGCUAUUGCUUUGGGUUCAUUUAUUAAGGACCAGGAGCCAUGGGGGAGUUUGUACCAGUUGAAGCCUGUGGCCAGUUCCACAACAGCCUGAGCCUCCGCAGACAUUAGAACAGGCUGUUCCAAAAUACCUAUGAUCAUCUGAUGACUGCCCAAGAGGCCGAUGAAUGGCUGAGGCUUUCUGGAUUGCCAAAACAUCCCGCUCAUAUUUCUCCCAUAUUUACACACCCGUUAAAUUGUGCCAGCGGGGUAUCACUGGGGCCAGAUACAGACAGUGCACUUUUACCAGUAUAAGUGAUCGGAAACUGGUCUAUAACCAGAACAGAACAGAAGUUCGGCACACACAGACUGGUUUAAAAAUGGAGGAACCCAGUCUAAGAUUGGUUGCCCACCCAACCAAAGGGCAAAUGUGUGUCCUGCUCGUUACCGAUCUAAACUACUCUGCUCGCAGAAACCUGCAUAACUGGAGCCCCUUCCUCCCCACACACACACAUCA